GAUGUGUAAAUGAUGUGUGAUUUGACCCAUAUACAAUACGUACAGCUACAACACUUUAAUGAACACACAACAUCCAAUCUCUGAGUUGAUAACACUGCUU